rnacentral:rRNA from 1 species
UACGUAGGAGACGAGCGUUGUCCGGAGUUACUGGGCGUAAAGGGUGCGCAGGUGGCGGCGCGCGUGGGGGUGAAAUCGCCCGGCUUAACUGGGCGGGGGCCUUCCAGACGGCGUGGCUUGAGCAGCGGAGGGGGACGUGGAAUUCCGGGUGGAGCGGUGAAAUGCGCAGAUAUCGGGAGGAACACCGGUGGCGAAGGCGGUUCUCUGGGCCUGUACUGACGCUGAGGAGCGAAAGCGUGGGGAGCGAACAGG